UACGUAGGGUGCAAGCGUUGUCCGGAAUUAUUGGGCGUAAAGAGCUCGUAGGCGGUUUGUCGCGUCGGCUGUGAAAACCCGGGGCUCAACUCCGGGCCUGCAGCCGAUACGGGCAGACUAGAGUUCGGCAGGGGAGACUGGAAUUCCUGGUGUAGCGGUGAAAUGCGCAGAUAUCAGGAGGAACACCGGUGGCGAAGGCGGGUCUCUGGGCCGAUACUGACGCUGAGGAGCGAAAGCGUGGGGAGCGAACAGG
rnacentral:rRNA from 1 species